rnacentral:rRNA from 1 species
UACGGGGGGGGCAAGCGUUGUUCGGAAUUACUGGGCGUAAAGGGCGCGUAGGCGGUUCGCUAAGUUGAAUGUGAAAACUCUGGGCUUAACCCAGAGCCUGCAUUCAAUACUGGCGGGCUAGAGUUCUGGAGGGGAUAGCGGAAUUCCUGGUGUAGCGGUGAAAUGCGUAGAUAUCAGGAGGAACACCGGUGGCGAAGGCGGGUUGCUGGGCCGACACUGACGCUGACAGCGCGAAAGCUAGGGGAGCGAACGGG